GGCAUGUCGAUCAACUGUACCGCUAUUCAGUGUUGUUUACAAAUCCAAAUGGAAGGUUCAUCAAAUUUAACGCAUUUGACUUGUGCAUGGAUCUGCGAUGCUGUAGGUCUUCAAAAAGAAGUCGGCAUGGACUGACAAGGUCAUAAAGGUGGUCAAGAAAUAAAUUGCCAACAGACAGCAGCAUUCCUUGAUUUAGAUGAAUUUCUCUUCAUGUCCUCUCCUGAAUGAUUUUCCAUGAUGCCUCAGGGUUAGGAUUGGGAUGCAAGAUGUACAGUACAUAUAUAUGAUGUCUAUGGGUACAUUGCUGUAAUGGCCUGAAAAAUCUUUUGCGAAACCGAGAAAUGUUCAUCUUCCAUUGCCAUGAUUGUGUAAAAGGACGAGCAGAGGAAUGAUUCAAAAAUAUAUGGCAGGAUUGAGAAUCUAACCCAUGACCCGUAGUCUGGUACUCUACCCACUGAUCAAUCCAUGCUGAUGGUCCAUCUGCUACAUUGAUGUCAUCUUAUAUAUUUAUUUAUUCAUUUAUAUAUCAUAUGGACAUUUAAAAAUUGACAGUAAAAUAAAAAAAAGUUUGAUAUUCAGCAAAAUAGAAUUUGUUACAAUACAUGUUUAAGAAAUUAAGUACAUGUACAUGCAUUGUUAUGCAUACAAUUAUGUACAUGUAAUUAUAUUUGUUAAUAGAUAAAUUUUUAGAUGAAUUUUCAUGUUGUUAUUGAUAUUGACAUGUACAUGUAUUACUUCCAUUUCUAGAAUGAUUUUAACAUCUUGAUAUUAAAAUGAUGACAUAAUAAAUAAAUCUUAAAUAUU